rnacentral:rRNA from 1 species
UACAGAGGUCUCAAGCGUUGUUCGGAUUCAUUGGGCGUAAAGGGUGUGUAGGUGGCGCCGUAAGUCGGGUGUGAAAUUUCGGAGCUUAACUCCGAAACUGCAUUCGAUACUGCGGUGCUUGAGGACUGGAGAGGAGACUGGAAUUCAUGGUGUAGCAGUGAAAUGCGUAGAGAUGUGGAGGAAUACCGAUGGCGAAGGCAGCCCCCUGGGCCAAUACUGACGUUCAUGCACGAAAGCGUGGGGAGCAAACAGG